AAGACCCCAUGGAGCUUUAAACCCGACUACACCUCCACCUCUUAUACCCACAUAAUCAACGGAGUACUGUACAUCGGUUUUGGGUUGGGGUGACCACGGAGCACAAACUAACCUCCAUGAUGAAUAAGACUAACCCUUUAUCUAAGAGACACACCUCUNAGAAUUAGCACACUAACAUAAAAUGAUCCGAUAUUCGAUCAACGAACCAAGUUACCCUGGGGAUAACAGCGCAAUCCACUUCAAGAGCCCCUAUCCACAAGUGGGUUUACGACCUCGAUGUUGGAUCAGGGUAUCCUAGUGGUGCAGCAGCUACUAAAGGUUCGUUUGUUCAACGAUUAAAACCCU
rnacentral:rRNA from 1 species